rnacentral:rRNA from 1 species
GAUGAACGCUGGCGGCGUGCCUAAUACAUGCAAGUCGAGCGGACAGACGAGGAGCUUGCUCCUCUGACGUUAGCGGCGGACGGGUGAGUAACACGUGGAUAACCUACCUAUAAGACUGGGAUAACUUCGGGAAACCGGAGCUAAUACCGGAUAAUAUAUUGAACCGCAUGGUUCAAUAGUGAAAGACGGUUUUGCUGUCACUUAUAGAUGGAUCCGCGCCGCAUUAGCUAGUUGGUAAGGUAACGGCUUACCAAGGCAACGAUGCGUAGCCGACCUGAGAGGGUGAUCGGCCACACUGGGACUGAGACACGGUCCAGACUCCUACGGGAGGCAGCAGUAGGGAAUCUUCCGCAAUGGGCGAAAGCCUGACGGAGCAACGCCGCGUGAGUGAUGAAGGUCUUCGGAUCGUAAAACUCUGUUAUUAGGGAAGAACAAAUGUGUAAGUAACUAUGCACGUCUUGACGGUACCUAAUCAGAAAGCCACGGCUAACUACGUG